rnacentral:rRNA from 1 species
AGGUAAGCUACUAAGAGCGAAUGGUGGAUGCCUUGACUGGUAAAGGCGAUGAAGGACGUACUAGACUGCGAUAAGCUACGGGGAGCUGUCAAGAAGCUUUGAUCCGUAGAUUUCCGAAUGGGGCAACCCAAUGUAUAGAGAUAUACAUUACCUAUAUAGGAGCGAACGAGGGGAAUUGAAACAUCUUAGUACCCUCAGGAAAAGAAAUCAAUAGAGAUUGCGUCAGUAGCGGCGAGCGAAAGCGCAAGAGGGCAAACCCAGUGCUUGCACUGGGGGUUGUAGGACUGCAAUGUGCAAGAGGUAAGUUUAGCAGAACAUUCUGGAAAGUAUAACCAUAGAGGGUGAUAGUCCCGUAUGCGAAAAACAAACCUUAGCUAGCAGUAUCCUGAGUAGGGCGGGACACGAGGAAUCCUGUCUGAAUCCGGGUCGACCACGAUCCAACCCUAAAUACUAAUACCAGAUCGAUAGUGCACAAGUACCGUGAGGGAAAGGUGAAAAGAACUGAGGUGAUCAGAGUGAAAUAGAACCUGAAACCAUUUGCUUACAAUCAUUCAGAGCCCUAUGUAGCAAUACAGGGUGAUGGACUGCCUUUUGCAUAAUGAGCCUGCGAGUUGUGGUGUCUGGCAAGGUUAAGCAAACGCGAAGCCGUAGCGAAAGCGAGUCUGAAUAGGGCGCUUAGUCAGAUGCUGCAGACCCGAAACGAAGUGAUCUAUCCAUGAGCAAGUUGAAGCUAGUGUAAGAACUAGUGGAGGACUGAACCCAUAGGCGUUGAAAAGCCCCGGGAUGACUUGUGGAUAGGGGUGAAAGGCCAAUCAAACUUCGUGAUAGCUGGUUCUCUCCGAAAUAUAUUUAGGUAUAGCGUUGUGUCGUAAUAUAAGGGGGUAGAGCACUGAAUGGGCUAGGGCAUACACCAAUGUACCAAACCCUAUCAAACUCCGAAUACCUUAUAUGUAAUCACAGCAGUCAGGCGGCGAGUGAUAAAAUCCGUCGUCAAGAGGGAAACAACCCAGACUACCAGCUAAGGUCCCUAAGUCUUACUUAAGUGGAAAACGAUGUGAAGUUACUUAAACAACCAGGAGGUUGGCUUAGAAGCAGCCAUCCUUUAAAGAAAGCGUAAUAGCUCACUGGUCUAGUGAUUUUGCGCGGAAAAUAUAACGGGGCUAAAGUAAGUACCGAAGCUGUAGACUUAGUUUACUAAGUGGUAGGAGAGCGUUCUAUUUGCGUCGAAGGUAUACCGGUAAGGAGUGCUGGAGCGAAUAGAAGUGAGCAUGCAGGCAUGAGUAGCGAUAAUUAAUGUGAGAAUCAUUAACGCCGUAAACCCAAGGUUUCCUACGCGAUGCUCGUCAUCGUAGGGUUAGUCGGGUCCUAAGUCGAGUCCGAAAGGGGUAGACGAUGGCAAAUUGGUUAAUAUUCCAAUACCAACAUUAGUGUGCGAUGGAAGGACGCUUAGGGCUAAGGGGGCUAGCGGAUGGAAGUGCUAGUCUAAGGUCGUAGGAGGUUAUACAGGCAAAUCCGUAUAACAAUACUCCGAGAACUGAAAGGCUUUUUGAAGUCUUCGGAUGGAUAGAAGAACCCCUGAUGCCGUCGAGCCAAGAAAAGUUUCUAAGUUUAGCUAAUGUUGCCCGUACCGUAAACCGACACAGGUGGGUGGGAUGAGUAUUCUAAGGCGCGUGGAAGAACUCUCUUUAAGGAACUCUGCAAAAUAGCACCGUAUCUUCGGUAUAAGGUGUGGUUAGCUUUGUAUUAGGAUUUACUCCGAAAGCAAGGAAACUUACAACAAAGAGUCCCUCCCGACUGUUUACCAAAAACACAGCACUCUGCUAACUCGUAAGAGGAUGUAUAGGGUGUGACGCCUGCCCGGUGCUCGAAGGUUAAUUGAUGGGGUUAGCAUUAGCGAAGCUCUUGAUCGAAGCCCGAGUAAACGGCGGCCGUAACUAUAACGGUCCUAAGGUAGCGAAAUUCCUUGUCGGUUAAAUACCGACCUGCAUGAAUGGCGUAACGAGAUGGGAGCUGUCUCAAAGAGGGAUCCAGUGAAAUUGUAGUGGAGGUGAAAAUUCCUCCUACCCGCGGCAAGACGGAAAGACCCCGUGGACCUUUACUACAGCUUGACACUGCUACUUGGAUAAGAAUGUGCAGGAUAGGUGGGAGGCUUUGAGUAUAUGACGCCAGUUGUAUAUGAGCCAUUGUUGAGAUACCACUCUUUCUUAUUUGGGUAGCUAACC